GAAAAUCGGAGCAGAAACAAAGGUGUUGCGUUUAUAUUUUUGUUGAGUGUAUGUGUAAAUGCGGUGUUGGUCAGAACUUCAGAAUCUCGGAAAGCGGCGUCUCUGGAUGAAAAAGAAUUUGGUUUGUUCUAAACUAUGAUGUUAUCUUCAGAAGCACAUUCAGACGCAAUCUCUGUGUUCUACCUCACCCUUUUGAUGACCUUCGUCACGGAUUCGGAGGUCAGAGAGGCAGGAUGACCUCUGGGCACCCAGGUCCGGUAGAUUGACUGCGAGCACCGACUUCUCCGGUCCAAAAGAUAUCACCACGCAGCACAGGUUGGAAUCAGCUUGCGUCUCAGGAAUAACUCUUAAGGAGUUGAACAAUAUCAGCUUUGUUCUGCAUGAACUGUUUGCUGUCUCAGCUUUGUAGGUGCAAAAAGGUUUUGAUGAUGUGUCAAAAUCUUUGAUUAUUAAAGAGAUAUGCUAAAGAUGGCCGGUCUGAAGCUUUCUCUAGAACUGGCAAAUCACUCAAAGUGAUUUAGUUUUAAAGAAUUUAUGUUAUGAUUUUCACAGUCAAUCAGAGGCUGACAGGAAAGAUGUUACCAAGACAACUCAGAAACACGCCUUCUUUAAUAUGGAAGUCCUGACUGGUAAAGAAAACAAGUUAUGUGUUGUAGUCUAACUUAACCGUACUUGUUAUUGUGGAUGUGCAGGUGUGAGGACCUUGUCGUCAAAACAUCUGAGGAGACAGAAAAAUGGGAACGAUGAUGCAUUCUGGAUAAUUGGAGUGUCGAGAAAACCGGAUGACUUUUGAACGUUUUGAAGUCUCCUCGACGAGGGAGUGGAGAGCCGGACCAGAACACAUCAUCUCCUUUUCCAAGGGUGAUGAACGAGAUGUACUGAACCUCACUGAGGAAACAGCACCGGCAGGAUUCAGCAGUGUGGUAGGACUGACUUUGGGUUGCAAUGAUUAUAAAUUUAUAAAAAAAAUUUGCCCCCUCAGAGUUUUCAUGAAUGUUAACUAGAUCUAUUAAACCUUAAAGGGCUUUCUGAUCAGUUUAUCUCUGCUGUCAAAUUGGCAUUUUUGACAUGUGAUUCGAUGAGGAUUAGCUCUCUUCUGGUGGAUGAGGGUGGAAAUGCAUUUUUUUUUGCCUCUUCCUUGUUGGCUUCACUUUCAUACCAGAAUUAUGGGGGCUGUCGUGGUGGAAAUUAUUCCAUCUAACCACUCCCUGGUUCUUUGGAGGUGACCCUGAAGAGAGAUCCACACUUUAAGCUAGGGCUGGGCGAUAUGGCCUAAAACUAAUAUCACAAUAUAUUGAGGAUUUAACCUCAAUAAUGAUAAAUGGACCAUAACUGCAGGUAAGUUGUCCACUAGAUGGGGCUGUCACAUGUAUUAUAUUUAGUCAAAUUUUUACGCAUCUCAAGGUGGUACAGCUUCUUAAAGGGACAUGAAUGUUGCCCAGCUACACACAUCUUUUCAUUUUUUUAUUAUCAAAUUUAUUGACAUGGGAAAAAUGAUCUCGAUAAGAGUCAGAAAUUUCGAUAACGAUACAUUUUCGAUUUAUUGCCCAGCCCUACUUUAGGCCCAUUAUAAUAUGUACACACACAAAGAUCUUUGGUUGGCUUCUGGUGAGAAGAACACAAGCAGUUCCCUGCCGAUGUAUCUUCUAACUUUCGACUCUUCUCGUCAGCCCUUUUAUUGAAUUGCAUGAAAAUUUUUUUUAAUUUUACAACAGUUCCACAAUAGACUGGGGCGUUCCCACUUCACAGUCAUACACUACUCCUCCUCAUGGGAGCGGUCUUCAUGAGUUCACAGUCUAAAGCACCUUCUGACUUUCCCUGACCCUCAACAUCCAAGACUUUUUCUAAGACUGAACUUGUGAUCUCUGGCUCAGCAACGAGGUCAAAAGUUUAUCAAUCAGACACUUCCCCAUGACAUAACUCGUGAUCUUCUUUUGACCACAAGCAGUAAGAGUCAGGCCAUUGUUAUAGAAACUUUCAACACCAAUGUUUUCUGGAACGUUAUCUCUGUUAGUCUGCAGCACUUCGACAAAGUUUUAUUUCCUUAUAUAUGAAGAUUAAAUGAUUGACCAACACAUUCAUAACCUGACAGCAAUUAGACUGAAGUUGACUAUAUUAGUUUAAACAGAAAAGGUUAUAUUGGUUAAGUGUAAAAAUGAUUAUUCUCAAAAAGAUUAUAUUGAUUAGCUUUAAAAAUGAUUAUGCUGAUUAGGGCUGCAAUGAUUCCUCGAGUAACUCGAAUGAUUCGCUGACAAAAAAUAUUCGAGAAUUUUCCGCUGCCUCGAGGACUCGUUAAAUAGACCAUAGCUGAAUAUCCGGCAUUGCGCAUGGAUUCUUUAUGUGUUGCGCAACGCGGUUACGUCACAGAUUAUACGUGCCAUGUACUCUACUGCACAGCGCGCAGCGGUCUUUUCGUCUUUUCAGCUGGGUAGCCGACAAUGGCAGACGCCAUGGAAAUAAAUGGAAACGAGCAAGACCAAAACGAAGGAUAUAGUAAGCGACAGAAGUUUUCCAAGGCAUGGGAUCACUUUACAUUAAAAAGCAAGGAAAACGCCAUUGUAUGCAAGCAUUGCAAGGUGGAGCUACCACAACAGCACUUCUUCCAUGCUGCUGCACCUCUUAAGAAAGCAUCCGACUGAGGGCAUGAGUGAACGUGCCGAGAUCAGGUAAAUAAACUUUUUUUCAGGACGUAAAUAUUGACUCAGCUGUAGUGUCAAUAAAAUACAUUUAUUUGUUAUAAGUUAGUUUUAAAUUUCUGCCCUAAAAUGCAUCUGUUAAGUGUAUAUUUUUAAAAUUGGUUUACAAAAAAAAAUCUUUGUGUAGCGGAGGCAAAUGUGUAUUUCUGUAUAAAUAUACAAUAUUACCUUACUUGAUCUUUAUUGUAAAUAUCAGAAGAUUAUAGGAUUUUUGCUUUAUUAAGUAAUUAUACACACCUCGUCUUGAUUCAGAAAAGAGUCAGGUUUAUAAUUGUAAGAAUUUAUUUUAGAAACAAUUAAAACAUGACAAGUGAACUAAGCAUUUACUGUGAAUGGAUGGAGCUAAAGGUGAUGUAGGAACCUACACUCAACAAAAAUAUAAACGCAACACCUUUGUUUCUGCUCCGAUUUUUCAUGAGAUGGACUUAAAGAUCUGAAAUUCAGUCCAGAUACACAAUAUUACCAUUUCUC